rnacentral:piRNA from 1 species
ACUACUAGAUUAUCCUUAGGACUCUGC